AUGGGGUUUCAGUGAAAAACGCAUUGCAUCCGCAAGCAAGUGCGGAUGCGAUGCGUUUUUCACUGAUGGUUGCUAGGAGAUUGUUUGUAAACCUUCAUUUUUUUUGUUUAUCACGCGCGUGAAAAACGCAUCAAAACGCAUUGCACUCGCGAGGAAAAAGCUGAACAACUGAA